AGGGCGGGACACGUGACAUCCUGUCUGAAUAUGGGGGGACCAUCCUCCAAGGCUAAAUACUCCUGACUGACCGAUAGUGAACCAGUACCGUGAGGGAAAGGCGAAAAGAACCCCGGCGAGGGGAGUGAAACAGAACCUGAAACCGUGUACGUACAAGCAGUGGGAGCACCUUCGUGGUGUGACUGCGUACCUUUUGUAUAAUGGGUCAGCGACUUAUAUUUUGUAGCAAGGUUAACCGAAUAGGGGAGCCGUAGGGAAACCGAGUCUUAACUGGGCGAAUAGUUGCAAGGUAUAGACCCGAAACCCGGUGAUCUAGCCAUGGGCAGGUUGAAGGUUGGGUAACACUAACUGGAGGACCGAACCGACUAAUGUUGAAAAAUUAGCGGAUGACUUGUGGCUGGGGGUGAAAGGCCAAUCAAACCGGGAGAUAGCUGGUUCUCCCCGAAAGCUAUUUAGGUAGCGCCUCGUGAACUCAUCUUCGGGGGUAGAGCACUGUUUCGGCUAGGGGGUCAUCCCGACUUACCAAACCGAUGCAAACUCCGAAUACCGAAGAAUGUUAUCACGGGAGACACACGGCGGGUGCUAACGUCCGUCGUGAAGAGGGAAACAACCCAGACCGCCAGCUAAGGUCCCAAAGUCAUGGUUAAGUGGGAAACGAUGUGGGAAGGCACAGACAGCCAGGAUGUUGGCUUAGAAGCAGCCAUCAUUUAAAGAAAGCGUAAUAGCUCACUGGUCGAGUCGGCCUGCGCGGAAGAUGUAACGGGGCUAAACCAUGCACCGAAGCUGCGGCAGCGAACGUAUCACUUAAAACGCUUAACGUGACGGCAA
rnacentral:rRNA from 1 species